rnacentral:rRNA from 1 species
CUAACUAGGAUUCCCUUAGUAACGGCGAGUGAACCGGGAUGAGCUCAAAUUUAAAAUCUGGCGUCUUUCAGGCGUCCGAGUUGUAAUCUAUAGAGGCGUUUUCCGCGCCGGACCGCGUCCAAGUCUCUUGGAAUAGAGUAUCAAAGAGGGUGACAAUCCCGUACUUGACGCGACAACCGGUGCUCUGUGAUACGUUCUCAAUGAGUCGAGUUGUUUGGGAAUGCAGCUCUAAAUGGGUGGUAAAUUCCAUCUAAGGCUAAAUAUUGGCGAGAGACCGAUAGCGAACAAGUACCGUGAGGGAAAGAUGAAAAGCACUUUGGAAAGAGAGUUAAACAGCACGUGAAAUUGUUAAAAGGGAAACGAUUGAAGUCAGUCGUGUGAAAGGUAUUCAGCCGUCUCUGGCGGUGUAUUUGCCUUUCACGGGUCAACAUCAGUUUGAUCCGGUAGAAAAAGGCGGGAGGAAGGUGGCACCCUCGGGUGUGUUAUAGCCUCCUGUCAUAUGUGCCGGACCAGACUGAGGAACGCAGCUUGCCGCAAGGCCGGGGUUCGCCCACGUACAAGCUUAGGAU